AGAUAUUGCCUUCCUGUAUCUGUAAACUUGGUAGUCCUCUGACAGCUUCUUCUGAUAUGACUCUCUUCAUGCUCUUCAUGUUAAGGUGUCCUAAUUUUUGAUGCCACAGCUUAACCUCUUCAUUUUUAGUUAAGAGACAUGUAGAUACAUUAGCUUCUUCAAGAGGGAUCCAUAAGUAGCAGUUGUCUUUUGAUCUAACACCCCUCAUAAGGAU
rnacentral:lncRNA from 1 species